rnacentral:rRNA from 1 species
UGCAGUCGAACGGCAGCACAGUAAGAGCUUGCUCUUAUGGGUGGCGAGUGGCGGACGGGUGAGGAAUACAUCGGAAUCUACCUUUUCGUGGGGGAUAACGUAGGGAAACUUACGCUAAUACCGCAUACGACCCUCGGGUGAAAGCAGGGGACCUUCGGGCCUUGCGCGGAUAGAUGAGCCGGUGUCGGAUUAGCUAGUUGGCGGGGUAAAGGCCCACCAAGGCGACGAUCCGUAGCUGGUCUGAGAGGAUGAUCAGCCACACUGGAACUGAGACACGGUCCAGACUCCUACGGGAGGCAGCAGUGGGGAAUAUUGGACAAUGGGCGCAAGCCUGAUCCAGCCAUACCGCGUGGGUGAAGAAGGCCUUCGGGUUGUAAAGCCCUUUUGUUGGGAAAGAAAAGCAGUCGGCUAAUACCCGGUUGUUCUGACGGUACCCAAAGAAUAAGCACCGGCUAACUUCGUGCCAGCAGCCGCGGUAAUGCGAAGGGUGCAAGCGUUACUCGGAAUUACUGGGCGUAAAGCGUGCGUAGGUGGUUGUUUAAGUCUGUUGUGAAAGCCCUGGGCUCAACCUGGGAAUUGCAGUGGAUACUGGGCGACUAGAGUGUGGUAGAGGGUAGUGGAAUUCCCGGUGUAGCAGUGAAAUGCGUAGAGAUCGGGAGGAACAUCCAUGGCGAAGGCAGCUACCUGGACCAACACUGACACUGAGGCACG